rnacentral:rRNA from 1 species
GACAGCCAGGAUGUUGGCUUAGAAGCAGCCAUCAUUUAAAGAAAGCGUAAUAGCUCACUGGUCGAGUCGGCCUGCGCGGAAGAUGUAACGGGGCUAAACCAUGCACCGAAGCUGCGGCAGCGACACUAUGUGUUGUUGGGUAGGGGAGCGUUCUGUAAGCCUGUGAAGGUGUACUGUGAGGUAUGCUGGAGGUAUCAGAAGUGCGAAUGCUGACAUAAGUAACGAUAAAGCGGGUGAAAAGCCCGCUCGCCGGAAGACCAAGGGUUCCUGUCCAACGUUAAUCGGGGCAGGGUGAGUCGACCCCUAAGGCGAGGCCGAAAGGCGUAGUCGAUGGGAAACAGGUUAAUAUUCCUGUACUUGGUGUUACUGCGAAGGGGGGACGGAGAAGGCUAUGUUGGCCGGGCGACGGUUGUCCCGGUUUAAGCGUGUAGGCUGGUUUUCCAGGCAAAUCCGGAAAAUCAAGGCUGAGGCGUGAUGACGAGGCACUACGGUGCUGAAGCAACAAAUGCCCUGCUUCCAGGAAAAGCCUCUAAGCAUCAGGUAACAUCAAAUCGUACCCCAAACCGACACAGGUGGUCAGGUAGAGAAUACCAAGGCGCUUGAGAGAACUCGGGUGAAGGAACUAGGCAAAAUGGUGCCGUAACUUCGGGAGAAGGCACGCUGAUAUGUAGGUGA